GCCACACAACGAACCACACCUCCAAAGUAAAGCGCUGUUUAGAACAACGGCUUCACCUUCGGAACCUCGUCUCCAUCUAAAUCGACACCAAGUUUGAAUCGUUUCGGGAAUAUUCAGCAAGUCGGAGAAGACAUGCAGCACCACCUGGAAAACUGUAGAGUAUUUAAGGUCACAGCAAUCUCCACCUCCAAUAUAACCAGGACGAUCACCUCACCUCGUCACCAUCCGUCAGCUGAUGAUCCCACCAUGGUUUCUCUGUAGUCUUUAAUAGAUGUCCACACCCAAAGAGCUGGGAAAAGCACUGCAGACACCCAUCUGACUGAACUGAGAGGGACAGCUACAUCAAAUGCACUUUGGACAUUGUAGGUACAACAUGAAGACAUCACAUGGUGAUGGAGUGCUGCACCGUGGCCUGGCCUCCACAGUCACCUGACCUACACCCAGUGGAGAUGGUUUGGGAUGAGAUGGAGCGUAGAGUGAAGGCAAAGGGCCAACGAGUGCUCAGCAUCUGUGGGAACUCCUUCAAGCCUGAAACAGUAUUAUGGUGUUUCACACUUUUUGUUUACUACAUAAUUCCACAUGUGUUCAAUCAUAGUUUUGAUGCCUUCAGUGAGAAUCUACAAUGUAAAAAACCAUCACAUGAGAAGGUGUGUCCAAGCUUCUGACUGCUCGUGUAUGGCCAGUAUAAAGCAUCAAUCUGAUACUCUGAGUUACACUGAUAAAAAGAACACAUAUCAAUCCUUUUAAACGCUUUGGAAACAUUUAAAGUUGUCUCCAUCUCGCUACAUGUCUGACAUGCAUCACUGCACAGUUCAAUGAACAUACACUGUUAUUGUGUUAUUAAUAUGCACCCAUAUUUCAU